UAAAUUUCUAACCCUCUUACAGUUCCUUCUGGCUAUAAGAGUCUGUGAUCUUGGCAAGUGACAGACCCCUAUGGCUAAUGAAUCACAACUCAAAUGAGUAUCAAGUUCCCAGCUGAUAUGUGAAAAGGAACUCGGUGAGAAGAAUCAAUGACUUUAUAUCAAUCAUAUGAAAAGAAAUAAAAGUUUAUGGUUCAUAUUAUGUUACUUUCUUUUACCUGAGAAUGCUAAAACUUUUUUUUAAAACUAUAUAUAUGAAAUACUUGUGACAACUGAAUAGUAAGAGAUUUUAUCUGAUAUUAUUUUAGAAAGUGGAAAUAAUUACUUCAAAGGAUAAAGAGUAGAAGGUUUUAAUAAAACUUGCUUACCUUUUGGGGGGAUGGGGUGGGGGAAAUGUCUCAGUGCCCAAAGUCAGUGGCCUUCCUGACUGAAGGCUUUCCAAGAGUAGAGAGUGAGAGUAGAAACAGGAAUAGCAGUUUAAAGUUGUCUUCGUAAUGUUUGGUGAAUGAUUGAUUCCUUCAGAAGCAAACAAGCACAUGGUAAAAAUAUUGGGAAUGUUGAUUUCGUAUUGUUAUUGUCAUUUUUUAAAUUAACUAUGAUUUUGCUUAGAGAUAGUAGUCAGAAUAGUAGUAUAUUUAUAAUAAUGAGCCUCUUAGGGUUGCUGGUUUGGUGUUUCAAAGUUUUUCAAUUAUCUGUAAUAAACUUUGAAAGAUAUCUUGUGUAAAACUCCAUUUUAAAUUAUGUAGAAUUGAGAUACAUUAUUUAGGCUAAACAAAGUAAGUGUGUUUGUCAUGAUUCUAUAAAUUGAUCUUAUUUGAUAUCAAAUAUUUUAAUUCAUGAAUGUGGUAUGAUAAAAUUUGUUAAAAAUAUUAGGCACACGUAUUUCCAUUGUAUUUAAAUUACCAUCUGGCCUAUUCAAAAUUAACAGGGAGAGCCUAGAUUGAUUUUGAUCAAAGAGGUCUAGAAAUCAAUACCUUUUGUAAGAGAAUUGGAACACAGAGUCAUUUCUUACUUUCAUUCUGCUACCCAAGAUGAAGCUGGAUCACAGAUUGCUGUAGACAUUUUUAAAUAACUCCCUUGAUCCCUCCCCUUCCACACACUUUUCUCUACUGUAUUCACAGAGAAUUCUUUACAUAUUUACAGUUCUAGAGGAUAAAAUGACUCUCCAAGAGUUAACUUCAAUUACACAUUGGUGGGCAGUAACUGAGCUCUGAGUGACAAUCAGAACUAUAUGUCAAAAAUGCCACCUUCUCUCUUACUAAUGCUGACUUAGCAAAAACAGAGGGAAUUUAGGGCAAGUCAGAAUUCUUGUUUCAUUGUCCUAUUUUCAGUAAUAGAAUUUAGGACAACUUAGAAUUUUUUCUCCUGCCCUAUUUUAUUGCAUGUAUGUUUAUUCAUAUUCAGCAAAAGGAAUCCCAAUUUUACGCUUUGGUGUCUUCAUAUUAAAAAAAUACUAUUACCAAUUAAUUUAAUUUUAAAAUUAGCAUAUCUGGCUAAAGAUAUUAGAAAAAAUUUAUCAACUGAACAAAAUUUUUAAAUGACUCACAGUUCCACUGGCAAAGGAAUAAACUCUGCUUUUAGUAAACUCUUGAAAUGUUCCUUUGAAAUAUGCUUAGUUUUUAAUGUUCAUUUGAUUGAUUGUGAUCCUAAUACAUAUAUGCCUUUUUGUUAUUCAUUUUUAUAUCAUAACCUCUAUUUUCAUUAUUAUAAAUUUUAUAGUAAUAAUAUGUUAGAUAAUUUCUAAUCCAUGGUGGGAAUGUCCCUCAUUUAUUUGACCUUCUAUGUGUUAAAAAUUCAUUCUUUUUAAUAUCUAUGUAUUACAGUGAUGUGUUACUUCUUAUUUUUGUCUUCCCUCCAUUUGUAUUAAUUUAGCCAAAAAUAAACUCCCAGAAAUAAAAUCAAUUUGACAAAUUUUAGGAAUAUUUAUAGGCUGUAAUGUAGAGCAUAUUGGGAUGCACAUAUUGUUUAGGAGUUUGGGGAGAAGUAAAAAUAAAAUAAAAAUGAUU